rnacentral:misc_RNA from 1 species
GAUGAAGAACGUAGCGAAAUGCGAUACGUAAUGUGAAUUGCAGAAUUCAGUGAAUCAUCGAAUCUUUGAACGCACAUUGCGCCCGCCAGCACUCUGGCGGGCAUGCCUGUUCGAGCGUCAUUUCAACCAUCAAGCCCCAGGCUUGCGUUGGAGCCCUGCGGCUGCCGCAGCCUCCUAAAAGCAGUGGCGGGCUCGCUAUCACACCGAGUGCAGUAGAUUACUCUUCGCUCAGGGCGUGCUGCGGGUUCCGGCCGUUAAAAAGCCUUUUUUACCCAAGGUUGACCUCGGAUCAGGUAGGAAGACCCGCUGAACUUAAGCAUAUCAAUAAGCGGAGGA